GCCAGGUGUGGUGGUGCGUGCCUGUAAUCCAAGCUACUUGGGAGGCUGAGGCAGGAGAAUCACUUGAACCCGAGAGGCAGAGGUUGCAGUGAGCUGAGAUUGUGCCACUGAACUUCAGCCUGGGCAACAGAGUGAGACUCUGUCUCAA
rnacentral:SRP_RNA from 1 species